rnacentral:rRNA from 1 species
CGGAGUGAGUAACGCGUGGGCAACCUGGCCUGUACAGGGGAUAACACUUAGAAAUAGGUGCUAAUACCGCAUAACGGGAGAAGCCGCAUGGCUUUUUCCUGAAAACUCCGGUGGUACAGGAUGGGCCCGCGUCUGAUUAGCCAGUUGGCAGGGUAACGGCCUACCAAAGCGACGAUCAGUAGCCGGCCUGAGAGGGCGGACGGCCACACUGGGACUGAGACACGGCCCAGACUCCUACGGGAGGCAGCAG